rnacentral:rRNA from 1 species
UGCGCAGGCGGAAUGGUAAGUCAGUGGUGAAAUCCUACAGCUUAACUGUAGAACUGCUAUUGAUACUGUCAUUCUUGAGUACAUAUGAAGUGGGCGGAAUGUGUCAUGUAGCGGUGAAAUGCAUAGAUAUGACACAGAACACCGAUAGCGAAGGCAGCUCACUAAAUUGUAACUGACGCUCAUGCACGAAAGCGUGGGGAGCAAACAGGAUUAGAUACCCUGGUAGUCC